UCUCCUGUAGUUCAGUGGUAGAGCAUCUGACUGGUGUGCGGAAGGUCAUAGGUUUGACUCCUGUCGGAGGAU
rnacentral:tRNA from 1 species